rnacentral:rRNA from 1 species
GACGAACGCUGGCGGCGUGCUUAACACAUGCAAGUCGAACGGAAAGGCCCUGCUUUUGUGGGGUGCUCGAGUGGCGAACGGGCGAGUAACACGUGAGUAACCUGCCCUUGACUUUGGGAUAACUUCAGGAAACUGGGGCUAAUACCGGAUAGGAGCUCCUGCUGCAUGGUGGGGGUUGGAAAGUUUCGGCGGUUGGGGAUGGACUCGCGGCUUAUCAGCUUGUUGGUGGGGUAGUGGCUUACCAAGGCUUUGACGGGUAGCCGGCCUGAGAGGGUGACCGGCCACAUUGGGACUGAGAUACGGCCCAGACUCCUACGGGAGGCAGCAGUGGGGAAUAUUGCACAAUGGGCGGAAGCCUGAUGCAGCAACGCCGCGUACGGGAUGACGGCCUUCGGGUUGUAAACCGCUUUCGCCUGUGACGAAGCGUGAGUGACGGUAAUGGGUAAAGAAGCACCGGCUAACUACGUG